AGCAAGUGGAGGAAGUCUAGAGGAAAGCACAGACCUUUAACAGACAGAAACUACCAUCCUGUGUGGAAAGUGCUAAGAGACCUGAAUAGAGUGAUCUGGGGAAGGAAGCCUUUGCAACCGUUAUUGGAGAGCCAGGAGUCACCAAACAGGGAUCUUGGUGACCAGGGCUUCAAGCUGCUGUCAGGAAAAAGAAUGGCUACCAGGCCUGCACAGGACUUUACCUGGGCUGGAGUAAGCCCUCAUUGUGAUACAGAGCUGAGAGACCCUCUUACACAUCUUCAGUAGGAGCCCUGAACAAGAAUGCUUGAAGCAGCAGUGUUUAUCAUAGCAAGACCUCGAAUUGACUAAAACACUUCUGUCCAGAAUACAUGUGACAUGGAAGAAGCAAAGUCAGCCAGAGCAGCAGGUUGGAGAGGACAUGCACUGUACCAGGAACUGCAGACUCCAGAGAAUGCCAAGGCUGUGGUCCAUUCCAGAUGAUAAGGGCUCCAUGGGUAGCGGCCCAAGCUGAAGCUCAAGGGAUGUUGGGGAAGUCAGGGACAAGGGGGAACUUGCCUCUGGAAGCAUUGUGCAGUGACAAGAUAGGGCCCAUAGCCAGAGACCAAGGAGCAUCAACCUUCUGGAAGAAAGAUGAGCCCUUAAAGCUGAGUCUGGGUAGAAAGGUGAGG
rnacentral:lncRNA from 1 species